rnacentral:misc_RNA from 1 species
UCCAAAACUACGGAUAGUCACGCGUGAUGUAAAACAUGGCGUCGCCCUGGCGAACAGAUUGUGGUGGACGUCUUGGAAGUUGAUAUGGUGUAUGCGUCUUGACUUCUAGUUGAAAAGAGUAUAGAAGAAUGUCUUCUUGAAGAUACCAAGAUUUGCGAUUUUGUAUCUCCCUUGUAAUUUGAAAGCAUCUCGUGUAUAAUCCAGUUACAGAGGCAGCUAGUUUACAUCAGUGAUUGAGACAAGCUGCUACCAGGUACAGUGAGGCUGAUGUUCCAAGGGAGACAACUGAACAUCAGGCCUCAUGUUUAGCCCUCUAGGCGAAUGUCUCAUCCACAUCAUGGGAUGGUUCUGUCAGUUCCCUGGAAACUUCUGUCUGUACUUCAGAUCGUAUCGACUGUUCAGGACUAUCAUUUUUGUUGGCUUGUUACUAUUUUACUGUGAGUUUCUGCACUACUACGUGGUGUUGUUCCAGUGCACCUGGCCUCAGGUGAACAAUGAAAUGUUUGACAGGACACUUCCUCCAAAGUUCCACCCUCUACGAGUUAUGGUGAUAGCAGACACUCAUGUGAUGGGACCACAUGCACACUGGUUUGACAGGUUGAGAAGAGAAUGGCAAAUGGAACAAGCAUUUCAAACCAGUAUGUUGAUUCACAGUCCAGAUGUGGUUUUUGUUCUAGGUGACCUGCUGGAUGAAGGAAAGUGGUGUUCAGACUCAGAGUUCCAAAGACAUGUCAAGAGAUUCCAAAAAAUGUUUUCCACAAACCAAAAUACAGACAUGUAUGUUCUGGUUGGGAAUCACGACAUUGGAUUUCAUUAUGCGAUGACGCCACACAAGGAAAGAAGAUUUGAAAAAGCAUUUAAUGCACCCUCUGUGAAGAUGUUGCACAUCAGAGACAAUAUUUUUGUACUAGUCAACAGCAUGACUCUGGAAGGAGAUGGGUGCUCUCUGUGCCAGGAUGCUGUCUCCCAAUUGCAACAAGUUUCUCAACAGCUUAGAUGUGCCCAGGAUCCAUUAAAGUCUUCCAGCAGCCACAAUGUGUGUCACCAGUGGGAGCAGUUCACCUACACCAAGCCUAUUUUACUGCAGCACUACCCCAUGUUCCGUACUUCUGACAUAGACUGUGAUACGUCUGAUGCAGCUCCUCUUGAGGAGAAGGGUACACCAUUCAAACCCAAGUGGGACUGUUUGUCUCAGGAUGCUACUGAACAGAUGUUCAGCCUGCUUGACCCACGGCUAGUUAUCAGUGCCCACACCCACCAUGGCUGUUACCGCGUCCACAAGGGCCGUGUCCCAGAGUGGACAAUACCCUCCUUCAAUUGGAGGAAUAAAAACAACCCAUCAUUUCUUCUAGCAACUAUCAGCAAUGACAAGUAUGAGGUGAAGCGAUGCCACAUGCCACGGGAAACUACUGUUAUAACGUUAUACAUCAUCUGGGGCCUCUUCAUAUUACUUACAUUGCCCUUCCCGCGGAGGGUCAUUAAAUUCAAUACUGACAAGGCUCACUGACAAUGACUGCAACUCACUAGGUGCCUGCUAUGUACAUGCUGUUGCUGUUGUCAAGCAUUACUGACAAUGACUGUAACUCGCAAGGUGCCAGCUUUGUACAUGCUGUUUAUGUCAAGCAGCCUGCUGUGUACAUGCUGUUGCUGUUGUCAAGCAUCACUGACAAUGACUGUAAGCCACUAGGUGCCUGCUUUUACAUGCUGUUGAG